rnacentral:sRNA from 1 species
ACUUCAGCCAGAGCGCGGGGUUGGGGCUUCAUUGCCUUGUGUCCUCUGCUCCGGGAGGCUUCGGUGAUUCUGCCACUCCCUCCGUCGCUGUGUGACCUGCUGGCAUUGAAUGAUUUAUAGCUAAGACUCCAGGACACCCCUGAAGCCGAGAAAUGGAACUCUUAACAUUCAGGGAUGUGGCCAUAGAAUUCUCUCCAGAAGAGUGGAAAUGCCUGGACCCUGCCCAGCAGAAUUUAUAUAGAGAUGUGAUGUUGGAGAACUACAGAAACCUGGUCUCCCUGG